CGGCUUGGGUGAGCUGGGCAGCCGAGUGGCAUGACGUCUGAGGGAGUGACACUUUCUUUGGGAAGGCAUAUCUGAUGGUGGCUCCAGGGAAGGAUCUGGUAGAGAACUGGGUGGCUCAGUGUUACCCACCCAGUCAACUGGCUCGAGACUAUUGGGCUCUAGAAUGAUGUGCAAUAGAAAUGAGACCAGGGAGCUGAAUGACAGGGAGUCUGGAUAUGGUGGGAGGCCAAAUUUUUUUGUGGGAGCAUUUUUCAAUGCCCGGAGGGUUCCCCAUAGAAACCCACAGACAGGUAGAGUGAGGCAGAGAAUCUCAGGUGAGGGGUUGAUGGGCUGGAAAAACACUGGAAAGAGGGAAGGACUAAUGAGGUAGAUGCAGUGCAGUUGUGGAGGGAAAGCAGACUGGGGAAGAACUCAGAUAACAGAGCUGCAUUAAUUAAUCAGAUACAAAACAGGUGUGGUUCAGGCUGGUGAGGAUCACAAGAAAACAGAAUGGUAAAGAUGUGGGACCAGAGUGGCUUAAGUAGGCUCAGAAUAGCUUCAGAAAGUGUGCUUAGCCAGAGUCCAUGGAGGCUGUCCCACUGAACAAGUACCCUGGUCUUCCUUGCAAACAGUUUCUCCAGUUCACAUCACUGAUUAUGUCACUGCCUGUAGAAAAAGGAGGAAGAGGAGCUAUUUUCCCCCCUUAUAGCCCCUGGAACACAAGAUAGAUAUGGGGGUCAAAGCCUUGUCUCAUGGGAAGGAGUCUGGGAUUGAUCAGGUUCCAGGUUGUCUGCUCUAACAUAGUUUAUGGCAAUCGGUGCCAUUUAUGGAGCAGAAAAAGAUAGACUCAACCAGAGCCUCUCCGCCUGCCCUCCAUUAUUGAACAGCCUUAAUUUCUGUCAUUUGCCAAACCAACUGUGCAGGUGGCUUACUGCUUGACAAAGAGUUGAGUUAGAUACAGAUGUGUUAUUUUGGGGAGAAUAUUUAAUGAUCAAUGCUUCAUAUGCUGAUAUAGACUUAGGUUAAUUUGUCUGAACGUACCACAAACACAGAGUUUUUCCUCAUCUCAUCAGGCCAUCAGCUCCUGUCUGCAUUCCUCUAGAGAAAGCUGGCUUGGAGAGAGGGAUGAAAGGCUAGGAUAUGACUAUGAAUGGGAAUAACCCACUCAGUAGUGCCCCUCCAUGAAAACCACACUCAGGAGUCUUGUCAUUGAAGCUUGAGCUGCUGUGGUAUGGAAAGAAGGCCUUGAAGGGAUAGAUGAACUAGAUUGACUACAAAUAACUUAGUAUGGGGCUUUAACAACCUCAGACUGAGGGACACUUACUCAUACCUAUGACUUUAUUGGCUCACAGCGAGGCUGUAAAACAUGCAUGAGACAAACUAAUUUUCCCAUUGAGUAUUUUGUCUUUCUCUGUUUCAGAGGUGUGCUUGAUUUGUUGAGAGGGGCACCCGUGCUGACUACUUUUUCCUUGAUGCAGGUAGUUUAAAUGAUAUGCCUAAAUUAUCUCUGAGCUUGAGCAUACUAUUUACAUCAUAUGAGUUUUUUUCUUUUAUUCACAUGUUACAUAAAUGAUUUCUUGCUCUUCUUUGAUCUCAAUUGAUGUCUAAGUGGUAUUUUUCACACAGUCAUUUGUGUAAUUGUGUGAGAAAGUCUGUGUUGAAAAGACUUUGUGGUCAUUGGAACUGUCACUGUUCCAGUAACUCUGCUGUUGUCUCUGUGAAAUGUCAACAUUAGUACAACACAGACAGUCUGCCUCUCCGCUCCACAAUGGGACUGUUGUAUCAGCAUCAGAGACACGGCAAACUCUUUAAAGCUGGGACACUUUGGAAUAUAUACACAUUUAUUUACCAUGGCAUUUUUUACCCAGUUUCCCCACUCCUCUCUACCCUCUAACCCUCUACUAUGGCUGAAAUGUGAUAUAUGUUGAAAUCAGAGACGACAGACAAAUAAUAAAGAUGAUUUUCAAGCACUCA